rnacentral:rRNA from 1 species
UACGGAGGGGGCUAGCGUUGUUCGGAAUUACUGGGCGUAAAGCGCACGUAGGCGGCUUUGUAAGUUAGAGGUGAAAGCCCGGGGCUCAACUCCGGAACUGCCUUUAAGACUGCAUCGCUCGAAUUGUGGAGAGGUAAGUGGAAUUCCGAGUGUAGAGGUGAAAUUCGUAGAUAUUCGGAAGAACACCAGUGGCGAAGGCGGCUCACUGGCUCGAUACUGACGCUGAGGUGCGAAAGCGUGGGGAGCAAACAGG